UACGGAGGGUGCAAGCGUUAUCCGGAUUCACUGGGUUUAAAGGGUGCGUAGGUGGGCAAGUAAGUCAGUGGUGAAAUCUCCGGGCUUAACCCGGAAACUGCCAUUGAUACUAUUUGUCUUGAAUACUGUGGAGGUCAGCGGAAUAUGUCAUGUAGCGGUGAAAUGCUUAGAUAUCGGAAGGAACAUCAGUGGCGAAAGCGACUUCCUGGACCAAUACUGACGCUCAUGUGCGAAAGCGUGGGGAGCAAACAGG
rnacentral:rRNA from 1 species